rnacentral:rRNA from 1 species
AAGGUCGUAACAAGGUUUCCGUAGGUGAACCUGCGGAAGGAUCAUUA